UGAAGUAGCAACGAAACAAGUUUAUGCUUGGGGGGGGGUCACCACAACUUGAGGAACUUUUAAAAGGGUGUCAGUGACAGGAAGGUUGAGACCACUUUAGGGCUGAAGGCAGAGAUAAGUCAUUGUUGCAAUGCUGAAGUCACCUUGUGUCCUAGGAGCAACAGAUGAUGCUCAGCUCCCCCACAAAGAGAGAUUAUCCUCCACAGCUGGCUUGGAACUCGCUAUGUAGACCACGGUGACCUCGAACUCACACUGCCUCCUCCAGUGCUAGGAUUAAUUGCAUGUGCCACCAUGCCAGGUCAGCCCCUACUUGAGUUUAAACUUCAUGUCAGAGUCCUGACAGAGACCUCUCUUCCCAAUGUGACUGCAUUGAAUAAAUCUCUCAGGCUUUUUCCCAUUACUUGUGUCUAUAAUUACUUGUAGAUGUAUACUGGAGACAGGUGGCCAAGCCUAGCUUUCGAUUCAAAAUCUUCUCUGGUUAUAAUACCACAGGCAAGGGAUACAAAAAACAAAACCCAAAACAACCAUGUUGGUUCCUGGGUCCCUGAGUUCACCCUUGGGACUGGGUGACUGGGGCAGAGAGAGCCAACUCUGCUUUGCUCAGACAGCUAGAUCCUGCUGGAGCCUUUGGGACUGCAGCAGAGCCAGCAGGUAUUGGAUGGACACUAAGAGGAUACCAGGGAUGUCCAGAGGCCAUCUCCCAGGUGUCAUCAAACUAACAACAGAGAUCAAUCAUCAUAGGUGCUGAGUGUACUGGGUCGAUACUGUGUGGGGACCGAGCAUGGCACUGGCUGGGUACUGGAUGUAUACUUGACCAUCACUGAGAGGGCACUGAGUGAGUAUUGAGCAAAUACUUGGCAGUAAGGGUCCAAAGAAGAUUCCCACCUCAGGCUUGGCACUCCUGCCACAGGUGCUCAAGCCAGAAACCUGGCUGCUCAAUCCAAUCAAUACACCUGCAGCUCCUGUGGUUUUAUUUCUAGGAACAAACUCAGAAGUUCUCAUUGUUUCCGUUGGUUCUUACACAUCCCAGUCUAGGCCACCACUCCUGUCUGGGACCUGGGUCUUCUACUGUGU
rnacentral:lncRNA from 1 species